UACGGGGGGGGCAAGCGUUGUUCGGAAUUACUGGGCGUAAAGGGCGCGUAGGCGGCCUGCUAAGUCGGACGUGAAAUCCCUCGGCUUAACCGGGGAACUGCGUCUGAUACUGGAUGGCUUGAGUUUGGGAGAGGGAUGCGGAAUUCCAGGUGUAGCGGUGAAAUGCGUAGAUAUCUGGAGGAACACCGGUGGCGAAGGCGGCAUCCUGGACCAACACUGACGCUGAGGAGCGAAAGCCAGGGGAGCAAACGGG
rnacentral:rRNA from 1 species